ACGUGUGGUUCUAUUUUGUUGGUUUCUAGAGUCGCCGUAAUGAUUAAUAGGGAUAGUUGGGGGCAUUGGUAUUGAGUCGCUAGAGGUGAAAUUCUUGGAUUGACUCAAGACCAACUAUUGCGAAAGCAUUUGCCAAGGAUGUUUUCAUUAAUCAAGAACGAAGGUUAGGGGAUCGAAAACGAUCAGAUACCGUUGUAGUCUUAACAGUAAACUAUGCCGACUAGGGAUUGGGCAACCUCAAUUAUGAUGUGUUGCUCAGCACCUUACGAGAAAUCAAAGUCUUCGGGUUCUGGGGGGUGUAUGGUCGCAAGGCUGAAACUUAAAGGAAUUGACGGAGGGGCACCACCAGGUGUGGAGCCUGCGGCUUAAUUUGACUCAACACGGGGAAACUCACCAGGUCCAGACAUAACUAGGAUUGACAGAUUGAUAGCUCUUUCAUGAUUUUAUGGGUGGUGGUGCAUGGCCGUUCUUAGUUGGUGGAGUGAUUUGUCUGGUUAAUUCCGAUAACGAACGAGACCUUAACCUGCUAAAUAGCCAGGCCGGCUUUUGCUGGUCGCCGGCUUCUUAGAGGGACUGUCAGCGUCUAGCUGACGGAAGUUUGAGGCAAUAACAGGUCUGUGAUGCCCUUAGAUGUUCUGGGCCGCACGCGCGCUACACUGACAGAGCCAGCGAGUUAUUUCACCUAGGCCGGAAGGUCCGGGUAAUCUUGU
rnacentral:rRNA from 1 species